GACACGGCGCAGGACGUGAAAAGCCAUCCAGCCUUCGGAGGGGUGAGACGCCGCGAGGAAACGAGAAGAAACAGCGAGAACGUUGAGCGAGACGCGGCUGAAACAGUGACGGCGAGGCCGAGAGAGGCUUAACCCCGAGAGGCGAGCGAGUGGAAGCAGCUGGAAGUUCGCCUGGUGAGCCCGCCGCCACUUUGUGAGUGAAUAGGACCUGAACAGUCGCGAAAGUGACAACUAACUCUGCGAGAGUCGAGACGAGGUCGGUUGAAUUUCCGCGGUGCCCGGUGACGAGCUUGCGGUUGUGGUCCCACCUGCCAGGACUCUCUCCUCCACACCUCCGGCUUCUCGUUAUCCCCUGGAAAAAACACGGACGAGCUCGCAGCGUCUGCAACAGCGAGGAGCAGCAGGAGGAGGAGAAGACGAGGGGGAGAGCGGGCACAAAGAGCGGAGAGCAUCCAGAGAGAGAGAGAGGGGAGGAAGGAAGGAGGACUGAGGCUCUGAGGGAGGACAACGACGGGGACCCGACGGACAGCAGAGCAUCAUCCCUCCGCGCGGGCAACACUGUGCUCACAAGCGAACGUCUGUGAACGACUGGUCCAGCGUCGGUCGCUCCUCACCAGGGAUACCUGCUCCGGAUCGGUUUGCCCCUCAGCCCCCGCCGUCACCCAGUCACCCUCUCCACUCUGUCCCGAUGAAGGAGGCCGACGCCAUCAAGCUGUUUGUGGGCCAGAUUCCCCGGAAUCUGGAAGAGAAGGACCUCAAGCCAAUUUUCGAGCAGUUUGGCAAAAUCUAUGAGCUAACUGUGAUUAAGGACAAAUACACUGGCAUGCACAAAGGAUGUGCGUUUCUGACGUACUGUGCGAGGGAGUCGGCACUGAAAGCCCAGAGUGCUCUGCACGAGCAGAAGACACUACCAGGGAUGAAUCGGCCAAUCCAGGUGAAACCAGCUGAUAGCGAGGGCAGAGGAGAGGACAGGAAGUUGUUUGUGGGCAUGCUGGGAAAGCAACAGAGUGAUGAGGAUGUCCGAAGGCUGUUUGAGCCUUUCGGCAGCAUAGACGAGUGUACUGUGUUGAGAGGACCCGACGGCACCAGCAAAGGGUGCGCUUUUGUAAAAUUCCAAGGACACGUUGAAGCCCAGGCUGCCAUCAACAGCUUGCACGGAAGCCGCACAAUGCCUGGAGCAUCGUCAAGUCUGGUGGUGAAGUUCGCCGACACAGAAAAGGAGCGGGGGCUGAGGAGGAUGCAACAGGUGGCCUCCCAGCUCGGCAUCUUCAGCCCCAUGACCCUCAAUUACCCCGCCUACAAUGCCUACACACAGGCGGUCAACGCACAGCUUGUCCAACAGCAGGCCCUGGUUGCCCAGUCAGCAUACUUGUCUCCUGUGGCAACAGUUGCCGCCGUACAGAUGCAGCAGAUGGCAGCACUCAAUGCCAACGGAAUCAUCGCCACACCCAUUACACCCAUCACACCAUCCUCGGGUACAAACACUCCACCAACUAUUGCAGCAACGCCUGUACCAGCUCUCCCUCCACCAAUAGGAGUGAACGGUUACAGCAGUUUGCCAGCCCAAGCUAAUGGACAGCAAGCAACAGAAACACUAUACACAAAUGGUGUUCACCCAUAUCAAGCUCAAAGUCCAGUAGCAGCCUUGGACCCUUUACAGCAGGCGUACGCUGGUAUGCAGCACUACACAGCGGCGUACCCUGCAGCUUACGGAUUGGUUGGGCAGCCGUUCCCCCAGCAGCCAACACUGGUUGCCCAGCAACACCAGCAACCCCAGCAACAGCAGCAGAGAGAAGGUCCAGAGGGGUGUAACAUCUUCAUCUACCACCUGCCCCAGGAGUUCAGUGACUCUGAGAUGCUGCAGAUGUUCCUGCCCUUUGGCAAUGUCAUCUCAGCUAAAGUGUUUGUGGACCGUGCCACCAACCAGAGCAAAUGCUUCGGAUUUGUGAGUUUUGACAACCCAGCCAGCGCUCAGGCCGCCAUCCAGGCCAUGAAUGGUUUCCAGAUUGGCAUGAAAAGACUGAAAGUGCAGCUCAAAAGGCCUAAAGAUGCCAACCGCCCAUACUGAUUGACAACCAAGAGGAGGAGGAAGAAAUAAAGAGAGACCCUUCCGUCCAAUCAUAAUUCACGAGGACCCCAUCGCUAUGGCAAUGGUUGCCUAGUGACCGAUAAAGCCCUGACCCCCCCUUCCUCUCGCAUUGUUGUGACGCUUCAGAGUCCAGCCGAGGUGGAAUCCCAGGGUUCACUGUGCUUUCAGACUGUCUGCUACCUUUGAGUGUCCGGAGAGUGCAGCCACACACACGCACACAUGCACGCACACACACGCACACAUGCACGCAAACACACACAAACACACACACACACACACACACACACACACACAUGCACUCUCAACACUGAACCUCAAACGGUACAAGGCUGAUAUACAAAUGUACAUAAAGUGCACAAACACGCACACACAGACAAACACACACACACACACACAAACACACACGUCUGCCGACACUCACACAGAUACACAUGGUUCACGUGAAUCCGUACUCUUACCCAUACAGCCGAGAGCUUGGUUUGACGAUAGUCUGUGUGGAGUUUGCCAACAGGGUGUUUAGUUCAGUCAAGACAACUCAGACCAAGUGUGUAUGGAAUUUACUGACGAAAAAUGCUGAUAUAUCACUUCAAUAGACUCAAACAUGUCUAUACCAUGUCUACUACAUGACAAAUAUAGAGGGACCGAACUUUCAUAAUAAAAAAAAAAGAAAAUGCAAAAAAAAAAGACAAUUAAA